rnacentral:SRP_RNA from 2 species
GCCAGGUGGGGUGGCGCGUGCCUGUAAUCCCAGCUACUCAGGAGGCUGAGGCAGGAGAAUAGCUUGAACCUGGGAGGUAGAGGUUGCAGUGAGCUGAGAUCAUGCCACUGCACUCUAGCCUGGGUGACAGAGCGAGACUCUGCCUUAA